rnacentral:rRNA from 1 species
GACGAACGCUGGCGGCGUGCUUAACACAUGCAAGUCGAACGGAAAGGCCCUGCUUUUGUGGGGUGCUCGAGUGGCGAACGGGUGAGUAACACGUGAGUAACCUGCCCUUGACUUUGGGAUAACUUCAGGAAACUGGGGCUAAUACCGGAUAGGAGCUCCUGCUGCAUGGGGGGGGUUGGAAAGUUUCGGCGGUUGGGGAUGGACUCGCGGCUUAUCAGCUUGUUGGUGGGGUAGUGACUUACCAAGGCUUUGACGGGUAGCCGGCCUGAGAGGGUGACCGGCCACAUUGGGACUGAGAUACGGCCCAGACUCCUACGGGAGGCAGCAGUGGGGAAUAUUGCACAAUGGGCGGAAGCCUGAUGCAGCAACGCCGCGUGCGGGAUGACGGCCUUCGGGUUGUAAACCGCUUUCGCCUGUGACGAAGCGUGAGUGACGGUAAUGGGUAAAGAAGCACCGGCUAACUACGUG